GCGCGCGUGUUUUAUACUGACAGCUAAAUUCCAGGAUAAAUUGUUAUUUUUCAAACUUUAAAAGUUAUUCACGGCACAUAUUUCUGUUGUGAUAUGGUUUGUAUUGUGCUUUAGUUUGUAUAUCUAAGUUAUCUAACUCAUUUUUGUUCAGUUUUGGUAUUAAAUACGGUUUAAAAUGUCUUUUGACAGUUUGUUUACGUUUGCUAUUUUU
rnacentral:lncRNA from 1 species